rnacentral:misc_RNA from 1 species
UCGAAAAGCUGAGGGCGGUUUUGGGUAUGUGAUUUCUUUUGUCCUUUUCUCCUUGGUGGUGUGGUAAGGUUGGUGAGAGUUUUUUAAUCAAUUUGAUUCCGGUAUUGAAAAUUAUAAUUUUUUAGAAGGGGCAGCCAUUAAAAUUUAAUGAUCUGGCAGCAUUAGCUGCAUUUUAGUAUUGGUUUAUGGGAUUAAGUUUUGGCAAUUCUGAUUAGGCAAUUUAUUCAUGCCAUAUAAUGAAAAUUGUUCUUUGUUAGUUUUAGUUGUUAGUUGUGUAUCAUGUACUUAUCUAUUAGUAUGUCAACAUUGGCAUAAUUGCUCUUUAUGGAGACUUAAAUUUUACAUCCAAUGAUUGCCAUUAGGACUUGCAUUACCUCUUCCAUGGCAAUGGUUUCUUGUUGCCAUAUUAUUGACUUUGCAGCGGUUUCAUCUUCUUCUACAAUCAUGCUUUAUGGAACUUAUUAAUUCUGGUUUGGUGUGGUCAGCUGCCAGUUGUUUUAUUUUAAUCAUGGUUUAUUUUGACCAUGUUUUUCUAUGGGGAAUGGACAUUGAUAUCUUCCUAUGUUGUCCCUUUAAUGGUAUAUUUGUGUACUUUUUUUUUAAAUCUUGUUGUUGAACUGAAGUUAUUGAAUAAAAAAGGGUGUUUAUUUGCACCAUAUGUUUGCUAUGCUAGCUCUUUCACUUACCUUCUUUUUGUGUAUUCUCCUUGGAUCAAAGUGUUGUUAUUUCCUUAAUGUUUCUGCCAUUCGUUUAUUCUGCCGCUUAUCAAUUUUAUUUUAAUAGCAAUUGCCAUUAUAUAUGUUUUUAUGGAUGUGAGGUAUAUUUGAAAUUAAUUAUUUGGUCUGUUUGAAGUUUCUUUUUUUAGCCAUUUGUCAAUAAAAUUUGCAGAAUUGAGAAUAGAGCACAGAUCUUGGGUUCUGAUUCUGCAAAAUUAACUUUAUUGUUUUCUCAUUUACUUUGUAGUUGAUUUUUAAUGGCUGCUGCCUUGUCUCUAGAUGACGUCAAGCCAGAGGAUUUUGGUCUUAGUCCGGAGAUGCCACAUUUUCGUGCACUUACUGCUGGGAGAACCCCUAAAAUAA